GAAGAAUUAACUUAGUUACUACUGGGUCUUGUUACAGCUCCUGCUGUUCCCGCAGUCCUUAUCAUCAAUCAGGGUGCUGUCUAGUUAAUCGUCUUCCUCUGUGUGGUGGUAAGGUUGGACCAGUUCAGACAGGACAGAAGCUACAUCUGGCCUGUCUCUGUUUAGCUGUGGCACCUUCCUGCUGCCAACAACAACUUAAGUUUCCCAUAAAAAGUACUCUUGGAUCAGUGCUUCUGUAUGUUCUCUCAAACCCCCAGUCAGUCAUAGCAGAUGGCCGCUCAUAUUGAGCCUGGUUGUGCUGGAGGUUUCUCCAUUGUCGCUUCAAGCAUGCUCAGUAUGAGGGAUUGCUGCAAAGUCAAUGCAAGCGACUGUCCACUGUCUCUACAUGCUCAUCCAGGAGGAGUGAAUGCUGCAAGUCAGUGACUUGAUGCAAUCUGCUGGGUUUCCUUAAAUAAAAAAACACUUUUUAACCAAUUUGAAUAGGAAACUGAAUCUGCCUGCACUGUUUGAUAGUUAGGAUUAUUUUGAAUUUAUGUUCCGGACUUGAAAUUUGUAUGAUUCAAUUGAACUGACUUUCUAAAGUGUCUUGAGAUGACAUGUGUUGUGAAUUGGUGCUAUAUAAAUAAACUGAGUUGAACUGAAUUUCUACCAGAAUGCCCCGGGAGGGCUGGCUUGACCACAGCAUGUAACUAGAGGUGUUGUGCUUAUUUAAAGGUGUUGAGUCUGAGUAUACAAAUUUGUCAGUCUGAGGAAGAGGCCAGGUGCUUGAAAUAUUGCUUGAUUAAAAAAAGCAUAACGUGGGAGCUUCAUUUAGUGUCCAAAUCUAUCUGUAUCUGGUGGCACUCACAUCCUAGGAGCAAUCUAAUUUGC